CCGCCCGAGUACUACGAGCAACAGCUUAAAACUCAAAGGACUUGGCGGUGCUCUAUACCCCCCUAGAGGAGCCUGUUCUAUAAUCGAUAAUCCACGAUAAACCUCACCGCUUAUUGCCAAUACAGCCUAUAUACCACCGUCUAGCCCACCCUUCAAGGAACCAAAAGUAGGCACAAUCAUACACAUAAAAACGUCAGGUCAAGGUGUAGCAAAUAAAGCGGGAAGAAAUGGGCUACAUUUUCUAACCUAGAAAAUACGGAAAAGCUUAUGAAAUAAAACUACGAAGGAGGAUUUAGCAGUAAAAAGAAAAAAGAGCGUUCUUUUUAAACC
rnacentral:rRNA from 1 species